GGAAGUCCCAUCGGAUCAUUGCCCUCACCGUCUUUGCCGACGACAAACUCUCUGGCCCAAUCCCACCCUUUGUGGGUGACCUCCCGUUCCUCGAAAACCUCAUGUUCCACAAGCUCCCAAAUCUCAUUGGCCCCAUCCCACCUACCAUUGCAAAACUCAACAACCUCAAAUACCUUGACCUAAGCUGGAACGGUCUCUCUGGUCCUGUCCCCAGCUUCCUCGGCUCCCUUUCCAAUCUCGAUGUUCUCGACCUCUCCUUCAACCGUUUCACUGGCUCCAUCCCUAGCUCUCUUGCCAACCUCCGCCGCCUUGGAACUCUCCAUUUGGAUCGAAACAAAUUGACAGGACCCAUACCCGAAUCAUUUGGAAACUUCAAGGGAAAAGUCCCUUAUCUCUACCU
rnacentral:lncRNA from 1 species